rnacentral:rRNA from 1 species
AGAGUUUGAUCCUGGCUCAGGAUGAACGCUGACAGAAUGCUUAACACAUGCAAGUCUACUUGAUCCUUCGGGUGAUGGUGGCGGACGGGUGAGUAACGCGUAAAGAACUUGCCCUGCAGUCUGGGACAACAUUUGGAAACGAAUGCUAAUACCGGAUAUUAUGUGAGUUUCGCAUGAAAUUCAUAUGAAAGCUAUAUGCGCUGCAGGAGAGCUUUGCGUCCUAUUAGCUAGUUGGUGAGGUAACGGCUCACCAAGGCGAUGAUAGGUAGCCGGCCUGAGAGGGUGAACGGCCACAAGGGGACUGAGACACGGCCCUUACUCCUACGGGAGGCAGCAGUGGGGAAUAUUGGACAAUGGACCAAAAGUCUGAUCCAGCAAUUCUGUGUGCACGAUGAAGUUUUUCGGAAUGUAAAGUGCUUUCAGUUGGGACGAAGUAAGUGACGGUACCAACAGAAGAAGCGACGGCUAAAUACGUGCCAGCAGCCGCGGUAAUACGUAUGUCGCAAGCGUUAUCCGGAUUUAUUGGGCGUAAAGCGCGUCUAGGCGGUUUGGUAAGUCUGAUGUGAAAAUGCGGGGCUCAACUCCGUAUUGCGUUGGAAACUGCCAAACUAGAGUACUGGAGAGGUGGGCGGAACUACAAGUGUAGAGGUGAAAUUCGUAGAUAUUUGUAGGAAUGCCGAUGGGGAAGCCAGCCCACUGGACAGAUACUGACGCUAAAGCGCGAAAGCGUGGGUAGCAAACAGGAUUAGAUACCCUGGUAGUCCACGCCGUAAACGAUGAUUACUAGGUGUUGGGGGUCGAACCUCAGCGCCCAAGCUAACGCGAUAAGUAAUCCGCCUGGGGAGUACGUACGCAAGUAUGAAACUCAAAGGAAUUGACGGGGACCCGCACAAGCGGUGGAGCAUGUGGUUUAAUUCGAAGCAACGCGAAGAACCUUACCAAGUCUUGACAUCCCCCUGACCGGACAGUAAUGUGUCCUUUCCUUCGGGACAGGGGAGACAGGUGGUGCAUGGUUGUCGUCAGCUCGUGUCGUGAGAUGUUGGGUUAAGUCCCGCAACGAGCGCAACC